ACCAUUCCUGCGCCUUCCCUAUUUAAAGAUGGAAAGCCAGACGGGGCAAAUUUCCUAAUGUUCUUCUCAUUGAUCUUGGAGUAAAAACUCCAAAGAACUCGAGGUACCUAGUGAUGUUACCCUCUAGGGUUUAUUAUUUAUUUAUUUAUUUAUUUAUUUAUGAGAUGGAGUCUCUCUCCGUCACCUAGGCUGCAUGGAAUGCAGUGGCGUGAUCUCGGCUCACUGCAACCUCUGCCUGCCAGGAGAAUGGCGGGAACCCGGGAGGCGGAGCUUGCAGUGAGCUGAGAUCUGGCCACUGCACUCCAGCCUGGGCGACAGAGCGAGACUCCGUCUCAAAAAAAAAACAACAAAAAAAACCCAAAAAAAACCCCAUACUUUUAGGAACACACAUCAGAUGCAAAAAGAGUGUAAAAAUGCAAGCAACCACAAUGAUGGCAAUAUUUUUCAUCAACAGAAAUUAACCUAGUGAGUUUUGAUAUUUAGGGUAUAAGUGAAAAGAAAAAUGCAAGCAAGGCAUUGAUGACUGUGAGAUUCGGGAAGGUGGUACAUGAGGUAAGAGGCGUAGGAAGAUGGGCUUGGGAGAUCACAGGGUUGGAUGUGAGUUGUUGACAGGGUCCUAGGUUUUGUUGUUGAUGGUGAGUUUCUAUAAGCUAAUGAUAUUCUUUAAAAAAUGACUAAUAAAAUUAUUAAAUAAAAGCAUAGAUCAGAGAUAAUGCAUCAUACCAAAUAUUAUAAUGAGCCCAAUCUGUGCAAACAAGCAAAACUGACAUCAGUGGAAUUCAAAUUAAGAGAGGACAGCAUUUAAAUUUUCCAAGUUCCAUGUGGGUAGGCUGAAGAAACAGUUUUAAAAAGCGUAUUUUAUGUUGCUUUUACUUGAGAAAGGAUUUAAUACACUCUUCCUUUGUCUUCCCUAGAAGAUCAUUCAAAAGGUCAUAACCUAAAUGCCCAUUAAUAGGGAGAAGUUAUAUUAAUGAGCACUGUUCCUCAUGGCCUAUGAUGCAGUCAUUCAAAACAUCAGAUAAGACAGAUGUGUCAAUAUACAGAGAUAUCCAUGCUUCACUGAUAAGUUAAAGAAGCAAGUUGAAGAUAUGUUUUACAUGAUCCU
rnacentral:lncRNA from 1 species